CGAACCUAAAAGUUAAAAAAAUAAUAAACUGCUUUUCUUUGACAAAUAAAGAAACUACAGUAUGCAGUCCAUGUUUAUUUAUAUUAUGCUAGUUGCCUAUUCCUUGCAUAUCUACAUAAAUUCACAUAAUUUUAGAAGUUUGCAUUUCUAAAUUUAAAUCAAAUUUAGAAAUUUGAAGCUACGAAAUUAAGUUUGAAUAUGGAAAGCAUUGGGACGUUUAUCUCCUUACAAUCAGAUGUAAACACUAGUUAUGAAUAUACUUUUUUCAGUCAUACACCAAUCAUAAUAAAAUAUUCUUUUUAAAAUUAUUUUUUCGAGGAUCAUGCUGAAGUAUUUCACUGAUAUCCUACAUAUGGACACAAGGGAGAGAAAGAAAGCUAAAAUGGGAAGCAUCAAAUAUUUAGAAAGUAUGGACCAUCUUUAGUGAAUUCCAAAAAGCAACACAGCAUUAGGAACUCUGUCCUCUGGAAAAUCUUGGAGAGAUGAAGAUGUCCCAAUGUGAACAGUCUUAUUCUCUUUUAAGUGUCCUACCAUACAGAACUUUAACUUAGGCCAUUUAUUUAUUUUACUUAAUUAAAUUAGUCAAUCAGAUGUUUCCACAUGAGCCUUACCAGAGCCCUACUUAUCAUCAGGAAAACUUCUAAAGAAUGGGACAGAACAAAACUCAUGUUAUGUACAGAAGAAGGUAGCAUGUAUCCAAAGGAAGAAAGAAAGAAAGUAAAAGAGAGAGAAAGAGGAUAGAAAUAGAGAGAGAGAGACAGAAAGAAGGUUGAGACAGAGGGAGGGAGGGAGGGAAGGGGGAAGGGAAGGAAGGGGGAAGGGAAGGAAGGGGGAAGGGAGGGAAGGAGGAAGCAAAGCUGACCACGACUCAGUAUAUUUAACAUCAGGAAAUCAAAACUGAGGAUAGAAAAAUGCGCAAAGUGAAGGAGGUUUUUUCAAGAUUACGUGGUUUAUGAUAAACUAAAGAAUGAAAGUUGAAGAAUUAAAAGACAUAAACCGAACUUUAUUUUUUAUUCUAAUGGUAAUGAUGGAAUUUCUGAUCAAAAACAAUCUUAAAGAGAGUCAAAUGACAUAUGGGCUUAUAAAGCUUUAGCAUACCAUAACCUACCACCCUUUUCAGGCACAAUGAAAAAAGAAGUUGGAAAAGCAUCCACCUAUUGCCUGCAUGUAACAGAGCUCUGAGAAAUCAGCCUUUUAAUAAAAAGUACAGUCCUCAAAGUCUAAAUGCCUAUCUAGCCCUUUCAUAUUAUGAUACGUUCUGUUAGAAAUCAGUUUUCUUUCUUGCCUUUCAUGCAUUAUUACUUCACAUUAGUUCAAUUUUCCUUUGUCUUGCUUCUAGGUUUUUCAGUCACCCAACCUUUUCUUUUAUGAAGGCCUCUAUUGUUUUUUAUAAUUAUCACUGUAAUAAUACAAAUGAGUUUAUCAAACUUGUUUCUCAGUCUCCUUUUCUCCAUGAGUUGGUAAUUAAUUUGUUAACAUGUUGGCAUCAUGUUUUCCAUGAAUCUGGCUCCAUCCAUGAACCACUGAAUAUCCUCCUGCAUUUAUGAUGCUUGCCUCAAAUCACUGUUUCCUGACUUAGUAUUUUCUGGCAUCAAGACAUGAAACAAAAAGUAUCGGCUGGGCGCGGUGGCUCACGCCUGUAAUCCCAGCACUUUGGGAGGCCGAGGCAGGCGGACCACGAGGUCAGGAGAUCGAGACCGUCCUGGCUAACACGGUGAAACCCCCUCUCUACUAAAAAUACAAAAAAAUAACUGGGCGUGGUGGUGGGCGCCUGUAGUCCCAGCUACUCGGGAGGCUGAGGUGGAAGAAUGGCAUGAACCUGGGAGGUGGAGCUUGCAGUGAGCCAAGAUCGUGCCACUGCACUCCAGCCUGGAUGACAGAGCGAGACUCCGUCUCAAAAAAAGAAAAAAUUAAUAGUAUCAUAACUAUAUCCCACAUCUUUAUGAAAUAAGCUGGUUUCCCUCAGAGCCACCAGUGCUGCUGUGUCAUAAAAUCUGAUAGAUACUGCCCUUAUCAUUAUUUCUGAAAACACCACAAACUUAUUUCAGUUAUACAAUCUAUGUGACUUGUGUUUUUAUCUCAAGGGUAAUCUCCCUUACUUAAAAUCUGACACAUUUUUAAUUAAUUUAUUUGUUUCUACAUUCAUUCAAAACAUACCAAGAUUUUUAUAUUGCCAGGUUCUUUAUAAAUGCUGCAAAUAUGACAUGAAUAGAGUAAAGAGGUCCUUUGCCUCAUGAGAUGAUAAAUCUAUUUUCUAGAAAUGACAAAUUUUUAACAAGUAAUUCUAUGUGUGAUAAAUGCAAUAACCAAGAGUGCUCUAAGUGCUUUGCAAGCAAAAGUUAAGAAGUCAAAUUUGGUCUUGAAUUUUAUAUUGAGGAUAUUUAUUCCUAUUUAAUUAGAUAAGGAACACUGAAGAAAGAAGAGGUUGCCUUAAAGAUAGCAGUCAGGAUUGGCUACCUAAGAGGGCCAGUAGAAGAUAAAAAUCAGAGCUCCUUAUACAAAAAUUAUUAUGAAUUUUAAGACUGCAAUAGCAGAUCAUUAAACCAAGUGUGUGAUCCCCAAAACGUGAGGUCCUGUGCGACUGCACAUGUCACAUGCCAUGAAGUCAGCCCUCACGCCUAUGAAGCAUCCAGGAAUAUAUGUCAAGCAGGCAGUAGAGUAUACCAGUCUGGAGCUCAAGAGAAAUAUUUUGUUAUAGACAUUUGCAAGUUGUGACAGAUUAAAGAUAGCCAUAAAUUGUCACUCUAAAAAAUCAAGAAAUGGAGUUUAUUUAUCUUCCUCCUUGAAUGUUAGCUGGCCCUAUGAUGGUUUAAUCAAUACAGUGAUGUAAAAGUGAUGUUGUGGUAGUUCUAGGCCCAGCCUUUAAAAGCACUGCUGCUUCUCUCUUGAAAUGCUCACACUUGGGACACUUUCCUCCAGAACCCAGAGGCUAAAUGGAUGUUCACUUUUAGAUGACAGCCCCAGCUGUCCCAGCGAAUAGGCAGCAUCAAGUAUCAGCCAUUUGAGUGAACCAUUUAGAUGUUCCAGUGCAAUUGAGCAGAAGAACCACCCAGCUGAACCUAGUCAAUCCACAGAACCAUGAGAGAUAAUGAAAUGGUUGUUGUUUUAGGCCAUGAAUUUUGCAGUAAUACACAGCAAUAAUAACCAAAACAGAAAUUAGUGAGGUGCUGAAACAACAAAAAGCUAAAACAUUUGGCAUUGGCUUUGGACCUAGAAAGCAGAUAGAAGGUAGUCCAAAGCAGACUGCUAGUGAAAAAUGGAAUGAUAGGGAGAAAAAUGUUUUUGAUGCUGGAAAGGAGGAAGAGGGCUUAUGUUUUUUGUGGACACAAAAAACAGAAAAUAAAGCAAAUGAAAAUUUUUUUUAUUUUAUUGAGCAGCAGAAUAGUGAAAGUGCCAACUGUUUUUCCUGAAUAAAAUAAGGUAUAUGUAGAGAGAGGAACUUAAAAAAAUAGCUUUCAAACAGGAUCUAGAGGGAGUAUUUCUUAACCAAGACUUGUUGGGAAUUUUUCUUAUUCCCAGUCUCCCUCAACAAAAGUCUCUCAAAGUAAGAAAUUACUUUAGGACAAAGAUCAAAUCCAAGGCACUGUCAGUAAAUGUGCAGUUUCAAAGUCAAGAUCUCAGAUAUGUGGCUAUAAGAACUUUUUGUUAAAAACUCAGAAGGAUUUGACAUUUGUAAAAAACUCAGGUGUGCCUCUUUGAAACUUUCUUCUAGACAAUGAGGCUUCUAUAACUCUCUGUUCAAAGUAGGGAAAGGCCUUUUAUAAAGAAACUUUGGUGUCGCUUUUGUCCAGGAAAAUGGCUUAUAUUUUUAUACUCAGGAAAACCACAAAGUAUCUAUAGGAAGUGUACCAAUUUGUACUAAACAAACAAAGAAAAACAGUGACAGUUCAAAAAUUAAGAGAUCUUUGAGACACUCAAUUUUCAACAAAAAGAACACAGCCUGAGAAAGUCACUCAGCUACACAUGUGGGCUGUUUCUUAGGGAAAAGAGAGACAUAUGGAAGAGCCAGAAGCCCAGAGGAAAAAGCUAAGAGGCAGAGAGAAUCAACCCAAGAAAGCUGGAGGAAACCCUAACCAAGGAACCCACAUCUGCUCACCUAAAUUUCAGGAUGUUUAUGAACCAGUGGCUGCUAUUUGCCACUGUACUUUUGGAAUGCGUGUCUAUCAAAUUCUAUUGUCCUUGUCUCACUAUUACAUACUGAGUUUGUGGGGGCCAGAUAACUUGUUUUCUAGUUCAUAGCUCUUCAUCUCAAGAGUAGCCUGAGGUGCCUUAUUCACACCUGGAUCUGAUUUAGAUAAUGGAAUGCUGAACAUUGAACCUAAUUCAGUCACAAAUUGAGACUUUGAGGGUCAUGGGGAAUGGUCAGGGUAUUUUGCAUGUAGAAUGAAUUUAAAUAAUUUAUGACUGAGGGAUCACUGUUGUGGGCUAAAAAUGACCAAACACGUUUUAUUACUCUUUCCAUCAACAUGUGGCAUUUAUUUUCAUUCCCUCUUGAAUCUGGGUUGGCCCUGUGACAGCUUAAAUAGAAUGUGGUGGAAGUGAUGAUAUACCAGUUACAGACACACUUUUUAAGAGGAUUGCAGCAUCCAGGUCCCCCUCUAAGGUUUCUCAUUCUUGGAACAAUUCUUGGAACUCACCCAUCAUACUGUGAGAAACCCAAGCCACAUGUAUAGGACACAUGUUGAUGAUCCAAUUGACAGUCUCAAGCGAACUCUUUGCCAAUAACCAGCAUCAAAUGCUGCCAGGUAAAUGGGAAAUCUUGGCUGUCCCAGCACAAUUGAGCCCAUAGAUGAUGCAGCCAAAUCCAAUUUAUAAGAAACAAGCAACCCCAUUUAGUCCAGUCAACACUAAAAAUAGCGUGAAAUAAUGAAAUAGUUAAGCCAGUAACUUUUGGAGUGGUUUGUUAUAAAAUAAUAGAUAAUUAAAAUAGGAGUCAGCUGUGUAUAGAGGUUAAUGAAGCCAUGAGAUGGUUAAGACAAUCAAUAUGUGACAUGAAAGAAAAAAGGCUAUCUUAGUCUGUUUUCUGUUACCUGAAUUCCAUAAACUGAGUAAUUUAUAAAGAAAAUAAAUGUAUUUAUUUCUUACAGUUCUAGAGGCUGAUAAGUCCAAGCAUAUGGUGCCAGCAUCUGGUGAGGCCUUCUUGCUGUGUAAUCUCAUGGCAGAAGAGUGGAAGGACAAGUGAGCACAUGCAAAAGGGAUUGUACAAGGUGCUGAGCUGGCUUUAUUACAACUUGCUCUUGAGAUAACUACCAACUCUGAUGAUAGGACCUUAAUCUAUUCAUAAGGGUGCUGCCUAUGAUUUGAUUACCUCUUAAAGGCCCCACAUCUUAAUACUUUUACAAUGGCAAUUAAAUGUCAACAUGAGUUUCAGUGGAGACAAACAUUCAAACCAUAGCAAAGGCUUAGAAUAGAAUCCUAGGAAUUCCAAAAUUGCCAGACAGAGAAAAAGAUGACAGCUACAGAAUCUGUGAAAUAUGUUCAUCAAAGUAAAAAGAAAUCCAGACAGUCAGUGACCUGUGAGCCAAUGGAAGAGAGAGACCACACAGGUGAGUGCCAAUGAGAGAUCAAAUGAGAUAUAGGUCAUAGUUACUUGUUCUAUUAAAUGACAUAGAAGAUAAAGGUGGCCUUAGCAAAAAUAGAAUUUCAAACUGUUAGGGAGGAAGCCAGACUGGAAUUAGAGAGGUAGCUGAAGAAUGACAGGGAAUGAGUAGAGAGGAACAGAGAGUAUAGGUUCUUUUGAAGAGCCAGGAAAGUUGGCAUGAAGAAGCUCAAUAUCUCUUUCUGUCUCUCAUUCUCACUCUGUGUGUGUAUGUGUGUGUGUGUGUGUGUGUGGUGGGGAGAAGGAAUAAGAGACAGAAAUCUUGAAACAUUAAAAUUAUCAUUAAAUGAUGGUGAGAAGGAAAGAAAUAUAAAAGUUAUGGUAAGAGAAAAAUAUGAGUAAUAUUUAACUCUUUCCAGAAAGGAUCCUCAAACCAAAGAACAUCCAUUUAGGCACUAUGGCUAGUGUUCAAACACACAAUAACCUCAAAAUAACACUUGCUGUCAAGCAGAAUUUGUAAAACUGAGCUGAAUAAUCAUGGAUUCAAAGGAAUUUAUUUCCUGACAUAUCAAAAUGGCCUUGUUUAAAUCAUGUAAUCGAGUCUAUAAUAAAAAUUUAAUCUUAAGGUUUUAUAGCUCAAAAAAAUCUGUAUUUUAAAUUUUUAGGCAGUUUCUUCUAAGGUGAACAAUGGUAUUUACCUUUUGGGUAGAACAUGACUUAUUUUUGGAAGUAUUGCUUGAGUAAUAUUAAGAAUUAGGAAAUAUCUACUUGCUGAUAUGAGAGUAUACAAAAAUGUUUGCUUGACAAGCUUCCGAGGGCUCUGUAAGAUUGUGGUGAUAUCAGAUAAUGCCCUUCCCAAAUGUGUCUGCUCAUCAAUGAAUUUACACACAUGCAUAACAGCUUCCUGGGAGCAGAAUGGCUUGUACCUGGUUCUGUCUCUGAGUGUUUCAAAGAUAUGGAAGCAUGUUUGAUGAAAGAUCAUGGAAUAGCAAAGAAAAAUAGCACCAAAAAGGCAAACAAGGCAGGGAAAGAUUCUAGACUAGUGAUUUGGGAUCAACACAGGACAGGAUGAUUAGAGAGAAUAGCUUCCUGUGCACACUAUGUAGUUUGAUGCAGAAGCCAUCCUGAUCCAGAUGCCCUGGUACUGUGGGGCGGGACCUUGGAAAAAUUACCCAGAGGAUGUGAAGUGAAAGUUUUGUUACACCAUUCUUCAGAGUGAAGGCAGUUUUCCUACAGAAACCUUCAAAAAAGGAGAUGCAUCCUUCCUUGUUCCUGGCAGUCUUGCAUUUGAGGAAAUCAGUAUGCUCCAACUUAGGUGAGUUAGGCCACUGGCCAAUUUUUUUUUUUUUCUGUAGCCCUCCUCUACUCUGAGUUCCUAAUUCCACUUGUUCUGAAUUUUUUUUGGUGACGCAUUGUCUCCAUUAUUGAACUUAGUCCUUUCAAAAAUUAGCAAAGCUGGGAAUUUUCAUCCUAUUCUUUUCCUACUUUCAGAACUUUGAACUUUGAAUUUUCAGGAAGCCAUGAAGAAUGGAGUAAGAUUCUAGGACCAGUUAACAAGAACAUGUAAAAUAAUUUGUUUGUAAAAUAAUCUUAUGAGGCUAAAGCACAAGCCAGAGCAGAUUUUUUUCAAAAUGCAUAAGCAACACUUGUUCAAUUCCACCUGCUGCAGUUAAAGAAAAGUAAGCAAAAGGGAACACUGACAAAGUAAUUAUUUCUAGCUAUCAAAUGUCCAUUCAUUGAUUUCUAGCCAAAGCAGAGAGAAUCAGGAAGUUUCUAUAAAGGGCAAUGAGUUUCCACAAUACAGAAUGUCUGUGUUGGCUCAACUCCUACCAGUUACCAAACUCCCUAAUCAUCCUCAAUACUUUCACAAUAAGUGCAAAUGCUUUCAAAGUUUAAAUAGAUGCAUCAAAAAAUAUGUGCCAGAUAGCAAUAUUUGAACACUUUUCACUAAGUGCUAAAAGAUUUUAGUUUUGUAUACUAACUGUUAACAUGGAUUAAAACCAACAAAUAAAAACACAAUUGCAAUGCUACUUGUGCUACUGGCCAACUUAGCACCAAAUCACUAAUAACAAUAAAAUUUUUCAAAAUCUUAAUCAAAAUUUCCCCAAAUUAAAAGAAAGCCAAUCAAUCUACAAAUUGUAAAGACUGUAAAAUUAGAUCAAUUAAACUCAACUGGGGAGAGAUUUUAUUUUCCAAGGCACAUUUGGCAGUAUCUAAAGACAUUUUUGUUUGUCACAAAUGAAGGAGGGGGUGCUACCGGUGUCUAGUGGGUAGAGAACAGGGAUGCUGCGAAACAUCCUCUUAUACCUAGGCCAGCCCCCUACAACAAAAAAUUAUUGGCAUAAAGUGUCAAUGGUGCCAGAUUUUAGAAAUCCUGAGUUGGAGUUACCAUAAAGUCCAAUUUAUUUUCCUUUAUUUACAGAGCACCCUCUGGUUUAUAACGAUAACAUCAUAGCAUCAGUAUGUAGGAAGAAAUGUAUUUUCUAAUCCAUUAUGGUUUUCAGGGAUGAAGAGAAUUAUUAUUGCUGUAUCUGAAAAUAAUACCACACCAUUAAGAAUGUAAGUGAAAAGGAAGUGUCUAAGGCACUGGAAUCUUUGUACAACUUAAUCGUUUAGAUAAAUUUGAAAUUUAAAAAUGCUUUAAAAUAGGGAUAAACUCUCCAAGAUUCUGAGUUUACAAAAAAAUUUCCAGUGUUUUAAGCAAUUACUUUUCUUAUGUAAAUCCCAGAUAAGAUGUAGAGGUACUUAUCAACAAACUGACUCCAGAUUUCUAUCAAUGAGCCUAAUAAUAUUAUAAUGAUAGUUUAAAUACUAGGCUGAAGGACAUUAAUAAUGGAGAUUAAAGUAAAAGAUGUAUAUUUAAAUUAAUUCAGUUAAAUUUUGUUAAUUGAUACUCAUUUCCAUUAAUUCUGUUUUUGCAACCUUUCAGACUUAUCUUUUAGUCUCCAGAGGCAGAAAAAAAGCAGAAAAGGUUGUUGAAAUUCUUCACAUUGAUUUCAGGGCAAUGAUCUCAAACGGCGCAGUGGGAACCCGCAAAUUUAAGAGGGUAGUUUCCCUGCACAAGCCCUUUUUUUGCCUGCUGCCAUCCGUGUAAGAUGUGACUUGCUCCUCCUUGUCUUCUACCAUGAUUGUGAGGCCUCCCCAGUUAUGUGGAACUCAAAGCUAGAGGAAACCAAAGUCAUAGAACAUCUGAACUCUGUCCAAACAUCGGUCGUAUUUCAAAAUUUCAGUAGCCACCAUCCCGCAGCCAACGAUAAUAUCUGACACUUCCUGACAUCAUGAAAGCCACCAUCUGUCUAUCACCAAAACCCUGUACUUUUUAAAGACUACUUGGCUUGAUCCUUAAUGAAGCUUCAAGUUGAAUGCACAGAUCGCUUUAGAAGGAAUACAAGGAAUAAUUGACACAAGGUAUCUGUAUAAAAUCACGUUCUCAUUAGAUUCCAUUUGAAAACAUAAAAUGAAAUAUUAAGGCCCCUUUCAGGCAGAAAAAGCAUGGUUUACUUUCAAUUGUGUUUCAUUUCCGAUUUGCCUGUGAAAGUUUAGACAGUGUUGAACACCAGGAAUAAACCUAAACUAAAGCCUAAGCUUUAAAUUCAAUAUUUUCCAGUCUUGUAAAAUUAAACAGUUAGACAUGACUUUGCAGUUUGUAUACUUGAGCUAUGAAAAAAGAAGAAAAUCCAUCAAUUAUUUUUCCAAGGCUUGAGAAAAUCAUGCCAUUUAAAACUGAAUCAACUUCUUUAACACCUGAACGAUUAUCCAGGAAACAAAAGAAGGUUCUGUAUGUCUUCACUUGUAAAUGUCACAGGUGAACACAAACAACCCUGUGCUGGCAAUGUCAAGUCACUCUUUGUUUUAUUAAACUGUUGUACCUCUAUGUGUGCAACAAGGGAAUUAGUUAACAGGGGAGACUGCGGAAAAAUAUAAUAAUUCCUAGGUGAUAUUAAGUUCUCUCAGAAAAAGUAAAGCUUUCCAGGGAGAAGACGGAUUAACAAGUUUCAUACACAACUUUCUUGACUGCACUCCAGUGUUGUGAUUUGUGACAUUGAUUUCACACUAAUGUCUUUCUUUUCUCUCCUUACUCCAAUGUUGUCCUGUGGUUCCUUUUAACAACCUCAUAAAUCCAAAUUUUGUGAAGUCAUAGAUAUUUAUCUGAUAGUCAAAAACGUGUAUGUAUGUAGAAUACACACUAUAUUCACUUAUAUAUGUAUAUGUGUGUAUGUGUGCAUGUAUGUAUACAGGAAAGAGAAUGAGAGCGCUAUAGAGGCAGACACAGAGAAACGACGUGUGUGUGUGUCUGUGUGUCUGUGUGUGAAUGUUUAGAUCAGCCAUAAGUUUAUAUCUUAAACUGGGGGAAAGAUACGUAUACAGUUCUGUUACAAAGUCCUUAUGAGAGUUGAAGUUGCAUUUCUCCAGAAAAAAAUAGCUUGGUAAAAUAAGAUUUAUCAUGUGCUUAUGCUAUGCUAGGUACAUGGUCAUGCGCUUCAUAAUUGUCAUUUCAUUUGAUUAUAUUUGUUGGGCACUAUUACUAUCCCACUGUUUUGAAGAGGUAAUUAAGGCUUAUAGAUGGUAACUUAACUUGCUGAAGAUCCCACAGCUAGUAAGUAAUAGAUACUGGAUUCAAAUCAAAAUGGUGUGAUUCAAUGCCUGUGCUCUCUCCCACCACGACUGUACAGUAUCCCUUGCUUAGACUGUGUACCCUCAUACAGUCUCUAGCUAUGAGAUUAUAAAACUUGGCACAGUAGGGAAAAGGGGGAAAGUGGACAUCAAAAUAUUUUCAUCCACAUGAGUGACAGCCUUCCAAAUCAUCAUCAUGAAAGUCUAAGCACUUAUUUUUCCAAUUUAGUUGAUAUUUUGGAAGGGCAAGUGACUCUAAGCCAUUUUAUCAGCUUUAAAAGAAAAGAUCAUGUUGCAUUUUGCCCCCAUAUUGGAUUUAUAGAACAAGCCCCACCUUAGCUGAAAAGCAGCCUCAUUGCUAUUCUUUGUCUGUCCACUCUACAUCACUACGUUUUCAGAUGGACAGUGAAGAAUGAAUUAUCCACUUGAAAUAACAGUGAGGGAGGCAGAAUGGUUCACUUGAGUAGAUAGUCUAUCAUAACACUAGACUCUUACUCCACUCAACGCACCGUGAUCCUUAAAACCAACAGAUGCCUGGGGAGCUGUAUUCGACAUGUUAUCCAAGGUUCUUCCUAAGAACCUUGUCAUGGAAAUAGCUGUCAUUUUUUUCUCCCAAACUAAUUCAGAGUAAAGGGUAUAUCUUCAUAUCACUGAGUCUUCUACUUUCUGCUUGUCACCUAACCUAUUGAAAAAAGAAACAUAAAAAUAUACACCCUUGAGCUGAAACAUUAGCAAAACCUGCAGCUAGUCCUUUUACUGUGUGUGUGUCUUGAAUUGUACUGGGACUCUCCAUAGACAUUUGAUUUUAUUCAUUAGUUUAAUAACAUUUAAUUGCUCCUCAUUUGUUACAUGCAAACACAUUCAUUUCAUGUUACACUUCCCUCUACUAGAGAAUUCAGGCUCAUGUUUCGCAACCUGGAGAUGGGGCAUUGUAGUUUUUAGAAUAGAAAUAACACAUCAGAAAAAAAUGAGAGCAGGUUGUUUAAAUAAAAAGUGAAUAAAUUAUUCAGACCAGCUGUUUGGAUUUGGAAAGAACUUUUCUGUGUUGAUUAAAACCUCUUAAUUUGUUUUGUGCUGCUGUGAAAGAGCAGGGUGUAAAUAAGUUGGGACCAGAAUGCCCUUCUCUGUCAGAAGUACUUGGUCCAGCCCAAAAAAAUAUGGCCACCUCAGAAUGUCUUAAUCUUUAGAAUAAUGUAGGAAAGUGGGGGUUUUUUUACUUUAAAAAGAUUCAUAAUGUUAAUGAAAAAUAUAGUUGACAUUUUUAAACAAUAAAAAAAUUUCCAGAGAUUACAACAUACAUAUCCUACAGUUAAAAAGAAAGAAAAGAAAUGAAAUGAAGCUAAACUAAUAAUUAAAUAACACCAUAAGGAAAUAAAUAAAAAGUGACUGCUAAUAUUUGCCCAUCAUCAUCCUUUAUAUCCUCACCCUUCAAAUCUUAAUGCUUCUUUCUACAUAGAUUUAUUAUGUUUAGGUUUUUAUUAAUUCUAGUCUACAAAAUGUCUUCAAAUAAAUGUAUUAAAUACUAGUCCCUAAGUAUUUAUUAUAAGAAGUAUCUUAAGAGAUUCUCAUUUAUAUAUCUAAUAUCAUAAACUUGACCUUUCUAGCAUUCUUUUAAAAAAUAACACAUAACGGAAGACAUUUAAAUAAAGUUUUUGUGAGUAUAAACUGAAAGCAAUAACCUUUCUUUAUACUAAAUUACUAUAGAGUUAUCAUUCAUAGAGCAUGACUUUAAUUUACUUGUUUAAAAUUUUUUUAAAACAUAAAAAGCAGAAUGAUUUUUUAGCCUAUUGAUGAAAAUGGUUUUAAACUUUAUACCAUAGUAAUUAUUGUCAAUUUUUGCUUCUAUAACAUUUUUCAAUGGUAUGCUCACAAGAUAAAACACAAAAAUUGGUUUCCACAGAGAUCUCCUGGAAAAAGCCUUAUACCUAAUAUUCUUGUUUGGAGGAAGAAACUGGGAAAAACAUCUGUCAUCUCCUCACCAGGUUGUUUUUUGUUUUUUGUUUUUCUACUGAGCUGUUGUACAGAAGCCAUUUAUUGAGUAUGCAGGCUAUUUUAACAGUGCCUUGCAGUAUAAGCGUGGGCUAGAGAAAAGAAGAAAGAGAGAAAAAGCAUUCAUAAUUCAUAAAUAUUAUUCAACAUAAACAGCCUCAAAGAUAUUUAUAGAAAUACCUAGGGUAUAGGGAGCUGUGUUGUGGGCUGUAUAACUUUCAUUAGUUAUGCAAAUUUACCCAGGCAAGUUAAAUGAAAAAAAAAAAGAGUGCAUUAAGAAUGUUAAUCACAUUUGAAAAUAUGACCUAGCUUUAAUAUAGUACAGUACUCUUCUGGACAUCUAUACUUAGACUUCUUAAUCACAGGUAGCAAGUAGAAAAGUAAGUACUUUAUAGAAAAAUACAAGUGCUAGUUUCACUGCUUUCACGGAACCCAGAUAAAUGUGACAACGUUAAAGGUAAAAAAAUAAAAAAUGUACACUGUUGUACAAUAUAUACAUGUUUAUUGCUGGGCAUUUAAGAAAAUAUAGACGACCAAAAGGAUAACAGAAAAAGGCUCAUAAAACAUAAAAUAUAGGUUUUAGUGUAUAUUCUUCUAGUGUUUUUCUUUUCUGUAAAUUCUCUGAAAAAAGAUAUAUGAUCUUAAUGGAACAUAAAUCACAAGGAUAUGCAUCUGUCUGUAUAUAUCUGCUUGACCCAAUGUGUCCAAAGAAAGCUGUUAAUUUUGUCUCUGGAUAGGCAACUUAUCUUUACCAUGUUCAAUAAUUUUAUCCUUUAUUGAAAUUAAUGCAUAUUUCAGUGAUUCUAAAGAAAAUGUCAAUAGUAGAGCAUUGAUUCAAUAGUUCUUUAUCAUUAUUUUCUAAUUGAAAUUUUCUUAUUUUUCUCAUUGGAAUAUCUGUCUUCAUUUCUCUACUCAAAAAUCACAGCAUUCUGUCAAAACUCAAUUUAAGUCACAUAUCCUCUAUAAAACCUUUCUUUAAGCAUUGUCCUAGUUUCCUGUGACAUCUUGAUUUGUGUGUGUGUGUGUGUGUGUGUGUGUGUGUGUGUGUGUGUGUGUGUGUGUGUCUGUGUGUAUUUUUGUUGUUUUGUUUUGUCUUUUGGCUUCCCAGCAUGUGGUAAGGACUCUGACAAUGUUACUGUUAAUGCCACGAUGACAAUUUCAGGGUUUUUUUCUAGGUUCCCAAUUAUUUUAUCCUUUCUCAGCCUCAUAGUCUUAGGUUUAUUUGCCCACAGAAUGACUAAUUUCUACUUGUAGGUUUUUUUAUUUUCAAAAUUUUAAGAAAAAAUGUCUCUUUUACAACCAAAUCAGUUACAAUGUUUAAGUUAUGUGGUAACAUAUAGUUUAAAUCUAUCAUGCAAAAGUUUAUUGGCUUUCUUAGCCUAACAGGUUUCUGUCACCCUUGUUUUAAUACUCUUUAUCCAGAGCUAUACAUAAUAAACAGUAGUAAAAAAAAAUUCAAAGACAUUAUAUAUUUAGCCUGUCCCCAAAUAAGGAAAAUCUGAAAGAUAGAAGAGCAUAAUGACUCUUUUGACAUUUCCUCAUUAACCUUAUAAAAAUAUAAGCUUUAUACACUUUUGAAUUGAUUUCACAACUUAUCAAUGAUUUUCUAAAUAUAGCCAUGUAUGUUUUCCAUGGAACUGUAUUAAAAACCCCUUGCUAUUUUAAUCUAAAUAAUUCAAUAACCUUGUAACACUACAAAAUAAACAGAUAACUUAUUAUAAUGAGAUGAUGAUGACUUUUAUAGGUUGUGGAAUGAUCAUUUUAGAAAUUAUUACACUUUAUACCUUACGCCUUACUGCUAAGAAAUUUAAAACAGAAACUAGAAUACAAAGUAAAAUGUGAUAAUUUAACUUAAAUGUAUUCAAAGAUGGAAUAAAUAAAUAAUGUAUAUAUGUCUAUACAAUCUUUGGCAUUUUUUUAAAAAAAUCUUCUUUUCAACAAGUAGAUUGAAUAUCAGAGGUUUUUAAUCAUGUGUAUGCAACAGGUGUCUGUGCUAUUAUUCUUAAAGAGAUAAAUGAAACUGAUUUCAGUGCUGCAGUCAAAAUACUGCAUCUUGCAAAGUGCAUAUCACAAUUUUAAGUUUCUACAAUGUUUUAUAUUACUUGAUUUAAUCUGUUUAAGCAGUGAAGUACAUGGGGGAAGUUCCUUUCCAAAUUUUACCUCUCCUAGUAUUUUUCUUCCUCAAAUACUGUUCCAUUUUACAAAUCAAAACAAUUGCAAUGUGGACAUCUGAAUGCAGACACUCUGAUUUGCAAGAAACUACAUUUACAAAAACAAAACGCCAGGAAAUGUGAGAGGGAAAAGAGCUGCCACCCAGAAUCCUGUAGCUAAGCAACGGGAUGUCUUCUCUUCAGUAACCAAAUUAUCCAAUCACCCCCUGUGGGCCCCAGAGCUCUAUAGGAUUUCCAUCGUUUGACUUUAACUUAAGCCGUUUCUGGGCUCUUUAACCUCAGGCAAUCAACCGUAUGUUGUCAAGUUUAUGGGGUAUGAAUUUCCAUCUCAAAAUUGGUCACAGCAGUCCUUCUGGAGGUUCUAGUCUCUAACAAUCCAUCUUACGGAAUACUUAGUAGAACUGAUCAAAAUAACAUGAAUGAAACAAUAUAGGUAUUCAUGAAUAAGAGCAGCUACAAUGAAUGAGGAUUGAUUAUAAGUAAAAUGAGUUAUUAUUCAAAGUCCCAAUGAAUUUCUUUCCACAUGGAGAUUUUCCAGUGUU